GAAACUUACAAGGAUUCCCUUAGUAACGGCGAGCGAACCGGGAAUAGCCCAACUUGAGAAUCGGACGACAAAGUCGUUCGAAUUGUAGU
rnacentral:rRNA from 1 species